ACGGGGAUCGUUCAAAGGUAGGACGAGGGAUUCUGAAUCCCUUGAUCGUGGUUCGAGUCCACGUCCCCGUA
rnacentral:tRNA from 2 species